AACGAACGCUGGCGGCAUGCCUAACACAUGCAAGUCGAACGAGACCUUCGGGUCUAGUGGCGCACGGGUGCGUAACGCGUGGGAACCUGCCCUUAGGUUCGGAAUAACUCCCCGAAAGGGGUGCUAAUACCGGAUAAUGUCUUCGGACCAAAGAUUUAUCGCCUUUGGAUGGGCCCGCGUUGGAUUAGCUAGUUGGUAGGGUAAAAGCAUACCAAGGCGACGAUCCAUAGCUGGUCUGAGAGGAUGAUCAACCACACUGGGACUGAGACACGGCCCAGACUCCUACGGGAGGCAGCAGUGGGGAAUAUUGGACAAUGGGCGAAAGCCUGAUCCAGCAAUGCCGCGUGAGUGAUGAAGGCCUUAGGGUUGUAAAGCUCUUUUACCCGGGAUGAUAAUGACAGUACCGGGAGAAUAAGCUCCGGCUAACUCCGUG
rnacentral:rRNA from 1 species